AGGGAGUUCAUUAAGUUUGAAGAGGUGGAGCCUGUGAGGAUUUGAUCUGAGCCGAUAGAGGAUAAAAGUAGCGGAAACUUAUAAAGAAACUCCAUAAGAAAGCUAACAGGUCAACGCUAGCAGAUCAAAGCGGCAACUUCAAUUUUGUCUGGAGCCUUAGGACUAUCACAGUGGUAAGAGCAAAGGUUCAAUGUUGUGGUCAUUGAGCUUGCAAAACCCCUCACUGCUUACUACCAAGUAAUAGUAGUUCAAUGUAGUUAGUUAAGUUCAGUUUUCUUAUUAUUUAAAAGAUCAAACUGUUGGAGAAGAAAUGAGGUGUGUGAUUCAAU